UACGUAGGGGUCUAGCGUUGUCCGGAAUCAUUGGGCGUAAAGAGCUCGUAGGCGGUUCGGCAAGUCGGAUGUGAAAUCUCCACGCUCAACGUGGAGGGGCCAUUCGAAACUGCCGUGACUCGAGUCCGGUAGGGGAGUUCGGAAUUCCCGGUGUAGCGGUGAAAUGCGCAGAUAUCAGGAGGAACACCAAUAGCGAAGGCAGCUCGCUGGGACGUUACUGACACUGAGGCGCGAAAGCGUGGGGAGCGAACAGG
rnacentral:rRNA from 1 species